UGGGGAAUUUUGGACAAUGGGGGCAACCCUGAUCCAGCAAUGCCGCGUGUGUGAAGAAGGCCUUCGGGUUGUAAAGCACUUUUGUCCGGAAAGAAAUCCCUUGCCCUAAUACGGCGGGGGGAUGACGGUACCGGAAGAAUAAGCACCGGCUAACUACGUGCCAGCAGCCGCGGUAAUACGUAGGGUGCGAGCGUUAAUCGGAAUUACUGGGCGUAAAGCGUGCGCAGGCGGUUUUGUAAGACAGGCGUGAAAUCCCCGAGCUCAACUUGGGAAUGGCGCUUGUGACUGCAAGGCUAGAGUAUGUCAGAGGGGGGUAGAAUUCCACGUGUAGCAGUGAAAUGCGUAGAGAUGUGGAGGAAUACCGAUGGCGAAGGCAGCCCCCUGGGACGUCACUGACGCUCAUGCACGAAAGCGUGGGGAGCAAACAGGAUUAGAUACCCUGGUAGUCCACGCCCUAAACGAUGUCAACUAGUUGUUGGGGAUUCAUUUCUUCAGUAACGUAGCUAACGCGUGAAGUUGACCGCCUGGGGAGUACGGUCGCAAGAUUA
rnacentral:rRNA from 1 species